GUCCACGCCCUAAACGAUGCAUAUUUGGUGUAGGUCAUUCAGUUGAUCUGUGCCGGAGCUAACGCGUUAAAUAUGCCGCCUGGGGAGUACAGUCGCAAGGCUGAAACUCAAAGGAAUUGACGGGGGCCCCGCACAAGCGGUGGAGCAUGUGGUUCAAUUCGACGCAACGCGAAGAACCUUACCUGGGCUCGAACGGCUAGUCAACGAUCGUGGAAACACGGUUACUCCGCAAGGGGGUCUAGUCGAGGUGCUGCAUGGCUGUCGU
rnacentral:rRNA from 1 species